GAUGAACGCUAGCUACAGGCUUAACACAUGCAAGUCGCGGGGCAGCAUGGGGGUUGCUUGCAAUCCCCGAUGGCGACCGGCGCACAGGUGAGUAACGCGUAUCCAACCUGCCCUUCACCACGGGAUAACCCGGCGAAAGUCGGACUAAUACCGUAUGUUGUCCAUUGACGGCAUCCGAUUUGGACGAAAGGCUUGGCGGUGAGGGAUGGGGAUGCGUCCGAUUAGCCAGACGGCGGGGUAACGGCCCACCGUGGCUACGAUCGGUAGGGGUUCUGAGAGGAAGGUCCCCCACACUGGAACUGAGACACGGUCCAGACUCCUACGGGAGGCAGCAGUGAGGAAUAUUGGUCAAUGGGCGUAAGCCUGAACCAGCCAAGUAGCGUGCAGGAUGACGGCCCUAUGGGUUGUAAACUGCUUUUAUGCGGGGAUAAAGUGGCCCACGUGUGGGCUUUUGCAGGUACCGCAUGAAUAAGGACCGGCUAAUUCCGUG
rnacentral:rRNA from 1 species